rnacentral:rRNA from 1 species
AGAGUUUGAUCCUGGCUCAGGAUGAACGCUGGCGGCGUGCUUAACACAUGCAAGUCGAACGAACCUUAGGGUUAGUGGCGGACGGGUGAGUAACGCGUGAGAAUCUGCCCUCAGGAGGGGGAUAACGGCUGGAAACGGCCGCUAAUACCCCAUAUGCCGAGAGGUGAAAUGAAUUUCGCCUGAGGAUGAGCUCGCGUCUGAUUAGCUAGUUGGUGGGGUAAGAGCCUACCAAGGCAUCGAUCAGUAGCUGGUCUGAGAGGAUGAUCAGCCACACUGGGACUGAGACACGGCCCAGACUCCUACGGGAGGCAGCAGUGGGGAAUUUUCCGCAAUGGGCGAAAGCCUGACGGAGCAACGCCGCGUGAGGGAUGAAGGCCUCUGGGCUGUAAACCUCUUUUAUCAAGGAAGAGGAUCUGACGGUACUUGAUGAAUAAGCCACGGCUAAUUCCGUGCCAGCAGCCGCGGUAAUACGGGAGUGGCAAGCGUUAUCCGGAAUUAUUGGGCGUAAAGCGUCCGCAGGCGGCCUGAUAAGUCUGUUGUCAAAGCGUGGAGCUCAACUCCAUUUCGGCAAUGGAAACUGUGAGGCUUGAGUGUGGUAGGGGCAGAGGGAAUUCCCGGUGUAGCGGUGAAAUGCGUAGAUAUCGGGAAGAACACCAGUGGCGAAGGCGCUCUGCUGGGCCAUAACUGACGCUCAUGGACGAAAGCCAGGGGAGCGAAAGGGAUUAGAUACCCCUGUAGUCCUGGCCGUAAACGAUGAACACUAGGUGUCGGGGGAAUCGACCCCCUCGGUGUCGUAGCCAACGCGUUAAGUGUUCCGCCUGGGGAGUACGCACGCAAGUGUGAAACUCAAAGGAAUUGACGGGGGCCCGCACAAGCGGUGGAGUAUGUGGUUUAAUUCGAUGCAACGCGAAGAACCUUACCAGGGUUUGACAUCCUGCGAAUCCCUUGGAAACUUGGGAGUGCCUUCGGGAGCGCAGAGACAGGUGGUGCAUGGCUGUCGUCAGCUCGUGUCGUGAGAUGUUGGGUUAAGUCCCGCAACGAGCGCAACCCACGUCUUUAGUUGCCAGCAUUGAGUUGGGCACUCUAGAGAGACCGCCGGUGAUAAACCGGAGGAAGGUGUGGAUGGCGUCAAGUCAUCAUGCCCCUUACAUCCUGGGCUACACACGUACUACAAUGCUACGGACAAAGGGCAGCAAACUCGCGAGAGCUAGCAAAUCCCAUAAACCGUGGCUCAGUUCAGAUCGUAGGCUGCAACUCGCCUACGUGAAGGAGGAAUCGCUAGUAAUCGCAGGUCAGCAUACUGCGGUGAAUACGUUCCCGGGCCUUGUACACACCGCCCGUCACACCAUGGAAGUUGGCCACGCCCGAAGCCGUUACUCCAACCCUUGUGGAGGAGGACGUCGAAGGUGGGGCUGAUGACUGGGGUGAAGUCGUAACAAGGUA